GAAAGCUGCAUUUAUCAACCAUCUUUGACAAUUUGCUUCCAGCAGUUAACGGAUGGACUUUUGUGGGAACAUACGUGCGUGUCCGUGGAGGAUUUAAACAACAUGAUGGGUGAGGAGCUCAGUGAUCCGGGAGGAGCUCAGAGUAGAGCUGCUGCUCCUUCACAUCGAAAAGAGCCAGUUGAGGUGGAUCGGGCAUCUAGUUCGGAUGCCUCCUGGACGUCUCCCUAGUCAGAUGCUCCAGGCAUGCCCAGCCAGAAGGAGGGAUUAUGUCUCGCCUGGGAACGCCUCGGCCCAAUCCCGGAACUGGAAGAGAUGUCAGGGCUUCCCUACUGGGACUGCUAUCCGGAUCCGGAAAUGCUGAAGAACAUGGAUGGAUGUAUGGAUUCCCAUUUUGGGCUGGUGGAUUGUCACGAGAUUUGAGCGGCCAGCGGAGGAGAGAGGUGGGAGAAACUGGAGAGACAGACAUCUGAAAAUAUUGUACUGAAAAGAUUGUUCUUGGCAUCGCAUGUGUAUUAAAACUCUGUUAAACGGCACGCCUGACUCCUGUGACGUGGUAUCCGUGGAACGGGUAGGGAACAACCUCUACAC